rnacentral:rRNA from 1 species
UAGAGUUUGAUCCUGGCUCAGAUUGAACGCUGGCGGCAGGCCUAACACAUGCAAGUCGAGCGGAUGACAGGAGCUUGCUCCUGAAUUCAGCGGCGGACGGGUGAGUAAUGCCUAGGAAUCUGCCUGGUAGUGGGGGACAACGUUUCGAAAGGAACGCUAAUACCGCAUACGUCCUACGGGAGAAAGCAGGGGACCUUCGGGCCUUGCGCUAUCAGAUGAGCNUAGGUCGGAUUAGCUAGUUGGUGAGGUAAUGGCUCACCAAGGCGACGAUCCGUAGGUGGU